rnacentral:lncRNA from 1 species
AUGUCUCCUCCCACUGUACCCUCCUGGUUGAGGCGGAAUGGAUUAGCUCAUCAAGCCCUGGGACUGCUCCUAGUGCUGAAGAAGAUGAGGUGGAGCUUGGAAUCAGGUGAUGCUCAUUUUCCUCCACUGUGCACUUUUAUAGUUGGAAACAUCAAUAGCAAGUCUUCGUGGGACCAACGUGGUAACUGUACUUUACCUACAACCCUAAAUUCAUCCUGGUGGGUGUGGUGAUUUGUUGCGGUAUAAUAAGCCUUCAAGAAGGGGAAUGCAGAGACAAAAGAUGAAAGGGAGAAGAGAAACCAAGUAAGUAAAAAUGUUUACUGGUUUCCCAGCUGAUGAGAGCCACCAAAUCCCUCUCCUGAUUUCAUUGCAAGACAAACAGAUUCACAAGGAAGGAAUUGUACUUCUUAGCACUGGACUGAGGCGGUCUUAGCCUGAGCAGCCAAACCCUGCUCAGAAUCUUGGCAAACUUAACUUGAGUUACUUGACCAGCCCUCUCUAUCUUCUCCCCCGACAAAGCCUACAGGCAUUAAACUGCCUCUGAGCAGCUGACCUCAGCCCUACCCUAAGCCACACAAAGCAGCAUUCUCCUCAUUGCCAUGUCACUGGUAAACUCUUCAUUGUGCCAGUGUCAUCAUCUCUGGCAAUUACACUCCUGUUUCUUUCAAAGGGCAGCUUUCACUUUAAUAUACUCCUCUGUCAGAUAGAUUGAUUGAUUGAUUGAUUGAUUUACCAUGAAAAUU